UACGUAGGGAGCAAGCGUUGUCCGGAAUCAUUGGGCGUAAAGCGCGCGUAGGUGGCCUCGUAAGUCCGCUGUGAAAGUCAAAGGCUCAACCUUUGAAAGCCGGUGGAUACUGUGAGGCUAGAGUACGGAAGAGGCGAGUGGAAUUCCUGGUGUAGCGGUGGAAUGCGCAGAUAUCAGGAGGAACACCAAUAGCGAAGGCAGCUCGCUGGGACGUUACUGACGCUGAGGCGCGAAAGCGUGGGGAGCGAACAGG
rnacentral:rRNA from 1 species